AUUGAACGCUGGCGGCAGGCCUAACACAUGCAAGUCGAACGAGUGGCGGACGGGUGAGUAAUGUCUGGGAAACUGCCCGAUGGAGGGGGAUAACUACUGGAAACGGUAGCUAAUACCGCAUACCAUCUGAUGUGCCCAGAUGGGAUUAGCUAGAAGGUGGGGUAACGGCUCACCUAGGCGACGAUCCCUAGCUGGUCUGAGAGGAUGACCAGCCACUCUGGAACGCAGACACGGUCUAGACUCCUAAGGGAGGCAGCAGUGGGGAAUAUUGCACAAUGGGAGCAAGCCUGAUGCAGCCAUGCCGGGUGUAUGAAGAAGGCGUUCGGGUUGUAAAGUACUUUCAGCGAGGAGGCGUUACUCGCAGAAGAAGCACCGGCUAACUCCGUGCCAGCAGCCGCGGUAAUUC
rnacentral:rRNA from 1 species